ACCUUUGCACAGUGGCAGUAUCAUAGCCAAUGAGGUUUAUCUGAGGCGAGGUUAUGGCUAUGUACUUGAAAACUUUUCCCAAUACCACGCCAUGAUGACCUGAAAUUAGCUGGCAUUGGCAAUUUUUGACUGUCCCUAUGGAGA
ensembl:snRNA U4 U4 spliceosomal RNA